rnacentral:rRNA from 1 species
CGGGGUGGAGUAACGCGUGGGUAACCUGCCUUGUACAGGGGGAUAACAGUUGGAAACGGCUGCUAAUACCGCAUAAGCGCACGGCAUCACAUGAUGCAGUGUGAAAAACUCCGGUGGUAUAAGAUGGACCCGCGUUGGAUUAGCUAGUUGGUGAGGUAACGGCCCACCAAGGCGACGAUCCAUAGCCGACCUGAGAGGGUGACCGGCCACAUUGGGACUGAGACACGGCCCAA